UUUUAUUUAAGGAAAAAGUUUUUGAGUUUAGUUCCGGCGCUACUAAGAAACGAGCUAAGAAAUGAGACUAUUGUUUAAACUCAUGUUUUAUGAGUCAUAUAAGUUUCUUAAUAACUUGAAUAUUAGAAUCUCAAAAGAAAAAGAAAAAACAAAAGAAACAUGUUUGAUAUGGAAAUAUAAAGAUUAUAAUGUAACUUUGGGGUAUAAAUUAUGCUUACCUAUUAUAUUAUUUGUUUC
rnacentral:lncRNA from 1 species